rnacentral:rRNA from 1 species
CCUACGGGAGGCAGCAGUGGGGAAUAUUGCACAAUGGGGGAAACCCUGAUGCAGCGACGCCGCGUGAAGGAAGAAGUAUUUCGGUAUGUAAACUUCUAUCAGCAGGGAAGAAAAUGACGGUACCUGACUAAGAAGCCCCGGCUAACUACGUGCCAGCAGCAGCGGUAAUACGUAGGGGGCAAGCGUUAUCCGGAUUUACUGGGUGUAAAGGGAGCGUAGGCGGUUUAGCAAGUCAGAAGUGAAAGCCCGGGGCUCAACUCCGGGACUGCUUUUGAAACUGUUGAACUAGAGUGCAGGAGAGGUAAGUGGAAUUCCUAGUGUAGCGGUGAAAUGCGUAGAUAUUAGGAGGAACACCAGUGGCGAAGGCGGCUUACUGGACUGUAAAUGACGCUGAGGCUCGAAAGCGUGGGGAGCAAACAGGAUUAGAUACCCCGGUAGUC